rnacentral:rRNA from 1 species
UAGGGAAUCUUCCACAAUGGACGCAAGUCUGAUGGAGCAACGCCGCGUGAGUGAAGAAGGUUUUCGGAUCGUAAAGCUCUGUUGUUGGUGAAGAAGGAUAGAGGUAGUAACUGGCCUUUAUUUGACGGUAAUCACCCAGAAAGUCACGGCUAACUACGUG